UGGAAGAACUUUGGGUCAAGGAAUCAUUACAUUUGGUGAACCUGUGCAGCUGAAGCUUCUCCUGAAAUUAUUGGAUUGCAACAGUCAAGCAACCAGAAACUGCAACAUCAAUCCAUUCCUAGUUCAACAAGAUGGAUGAGGAGAGUAAAAUACAACAGAGAAUUCUCAAAAGAGUAUCUGAUGGUAGUGGAUCUCUUAUCGGAGUUCUCAUUGCUGCUUCAGCUUUGAUUGGACUCGGUGGAAUGUCUGCACAUAUGGUUUUCUGGGAUGUGUUCGUAUAUAGUGUGCUAUACCUCAAAUGGAUUGUUGUUUCACUGGUACUGGCCAUAUAGAAAGAUUGAGCAGAACAUAUACAUAUAUUGGAUUUGAUGGAUUACCAUUUCACUUACUGCUAGUACAUCAUGUGAUUUUAUUACUAUGGGUUGCUUUUAUUAUCAUGGAUGCUAUUUCAUCGGUACUAGCCAUAUGGAUUUCAAAUUUAGUUUGCUAGUUUUAUAUAUACUAGCAAAAUGAAAAACAUAAUCAAAAGAGGUAUCAACAGGAAUGCCUACUCCUAUUUUCCUAUAUUUCAAUACUCUUGCCCUUCAUUAACUAUGGAAAGAAUGUAUAAUCUUUUAGCAUCGGCCUUUGGACAUUCACACAAAGGAGGUUGGCAAACAAUGGUUUAGCAGCAGCCCUGUUAUUGCCAUCUGCCCCAGUAUUGCAGAUGUCUCAUUUCGGUAGAGCGAGGAGAUUCGCACUCUGGUUUUUGGCUUUAUCAUUACAUACCAUAAAUGCCCUACUGUAUGUAUCAAAUAUGGAAAAAGAUCAGUGGUGCUUGUUAAUGAAGAGAACAGGUUUGGGGAUCACACUGAUUUUUUGCUUUGGGCUUGUAAUGCUACUACAUCAAAGUUUUCCUAUCACAAAGGAUGUUUGUAUUUGUGGUGGCAUUUUCGGUUUCCUUUAUGUGGUAGCUGCAACAGUAACACUAUACAAUUUUCCCACUUGGUCUGACAUUGUGCUGGGGCUGAUUCAUACUCUUAUCACUCUCUUUAUGAGCAUUUUACGCUUCAGCUGCCAGGCAGGCUUUCUAAAGUUUGAGAAAUUCCCCUUGCUGGUUGCUGUUCUGGGAUCUAUUGGUGGUUGUCUACUACCAUUAGCUCCACUGCCCAAAUUAUCUGAAAUUUCUGCAUAUAAGGUUGCUACUCUCAUCGGUGGACUAUCCAGAUUGCUCGAUGUAGUAUUCAUAAUGGGUUUAGUAUCACGGGAUAAGGUCAACCAUUUUUUGGUUAGAUUACAAGAGUUCCUUAUUUGAGAUUUCUCCAUUAUGUUGUUUGGUGCUAAUGGUCUGAGAGAUGAUAAGGAAUUAAGAGUUUGCAUGUGGAUUUGACAUGGUGGUUUAGAGAUGGUGUGAAGGAGGAGCUUGAAUCGCCCUGGAAGGACUGUGUGGACAAAGAGUUUUCUGGUGCCAACGGUCUGAAAGAUAAUGAGGAAAGAACGGUAUAUGUUGUGCAUAGUUCACUUCUACUGCCAGCGGCUCGGGUCCAUGCUUUGGGCAUUGGCGUAUACUUGCCCUUUUUUAGUCUUGUUAUGGUUUGGGUAGAUUGACUCAUAGUUUUGCAACAACCAAAAGUUAAUAUGCUGCA